rnacentral:rRNA from 1 species
UACGUAGGUGGCGAGCGUUAUCCGGAUUUAUUGGGUUUAAAGGGUGCGUAGGCGGAUCGUUAAGUCAGUGGUCAAAUUGAGGGGCUCAACCCCUUCCCGCCAUUGAAACUGGCGAUCUUGAGUGGAAGAGAAGUAUGCGGAAUGCGUGGUGUAGCGGUGAAAUGCAUAGAUAUCACGCAGAACCCCGAUUGCGAAGGCAGCAUACCGGCGCCCUACUGACGCUGAGGCACGAAAGCGUGGGUAUCGAACAGG